UGGGGAAUUUUGGACAAUGGGCGAAAGCCUGAUCCAGCAAUGCCGCGUGUGUGAAGAAGGCCUUCGGGUUGUAAAGCACUUUUGUCCGGAAAGAAAUGGCUCUGGUUAAUACCUGGGGUCGAUGACGGUACCGGCAGAAUAAGGACCGGCUAACUACGUGCCAGCAGCCGCGGUAAUACGUAGGGUCCAAGCGUUAAUCGGAAUUACUGGGCGUAAAGCGUGCGCAGGCGGUUGUGCAAGACCGAUGUGAAAUCCCCGAGCUUAACUUGGGAAUUGCAUUGGUGACUGCACGGCUAGAGUGUGUCAGAGGGGGGUAGAAUUCCACGUGUAGCAGUGAAAUGCGUAGAGAUGUGGAGGAAUACCGAUGGCGAAGGCAGCCCCCUGGGAUAACACUGACGCUCAUGCACGAAAGCGUGGGGAGCAAACAGG
rnacentral:rRNA from 1 species